CCUACGGGGGGCUGCAGUAGGGAAUCUUCGGCAAUGGAAGAAAGUCUGACCGAGCAACGCCGCGUGAGUGAAGAAGGUUUUCGGAUCGUAAAACUCUGUUGGUAGAGAAGAACGUUGGUGAGAGUGGAUAGCUCAUCAAGUGACGGUAACUACCCAGAAAGGGACGGCUAACUACGUGCCAGCCGCCGCGGUAAUACGUAGGUCCCGAGCGGUGUCCGGAUUUAUGGGGAGUAAAGCGAGCGCAGGUGGCUUAUUAGGGCUGGUGUAAAAGGCAGUGGCUUAACCAGUGUAUGCAUUGGAAACUGGUAGACUUGAGUGCAGGAGAGGAGAGUGGAAUUCCAUGUGUAGCGGUGAAAUGCGUAGAUAUAUGGAGGAACACCGGUGGCGAAAGCGGCUCUCUGGCCUGUAACUGACACUGAGGCUCGAAAGCGUGGGGAGCAAACAGGAUUAGAUACCCUUGUAGUC
rnacentral:rRNA from 1 species